rnacentral:rRNA from 1 species
CUACGGGAGGCACCAGUGGGGAAUAUUGCACAAUGGAGGAAACUCUGAUGCAGCGACGCCGCGUGAGUGAAGAAGUAUUUCGGUAUGUAAAGCUCUAUCAGCAGGGAAGAUAGUGACGGUACCUGACUAAGAAGCACCGGCUAAAUACGUGCCAGCAGCCGCGGUAAUACGUAUGGUGCAAGCGUUAUCCGGAUUUACUGGGUGUAAAGGGAGUGUAGGUGGCAUGGCAAGUCAGAAGUGAAAGCCCAGGGCUCAACCCUGGGACUGCUUUUGAAACUGCCAGGCUAGAGUGCAGGAGAGGUAAGUGGAAUUCCUAGUGUAGCGGUGAAAUGCGUAGAUAUUAGGAGGAACACCAGCGGCGAAGGCGGCUUACUGGACUGUAACUGACACUGAGGCUCGAAAGCGUGGGGAGCAAACAGGAUUAGAUACCCCGGUAGUC